GCGUUCAUAGUUCAACGAUAGAACCGCUGGCCUCCAACUAGACAAUGAAAGUUCAACUCUUUCUGAACGCUCCA
rnacentral:tRNA from 1 species